UAAAAUUUUUUUAAAAGACGAGAAGACCCUAUAGAGUUUUAUAUUUUAAUUUAUUUGCUAUCUAGAAAUUAGGCUAGGUUAAAUUAUUUGGUUGGGGUGACUCAAGGAUUAAUUAAAUUCUUUGAUUUUGGGAUUGUUGAUUUUUAAAUUUAUUUUCUGUAUUUUCAAGUUUAAAUUAAAUUACCUUAGGGAUAACAGCGUAAUUUUUCUUUAAAGUUCUUAUUAAAAGGAGAGUUUGCGACCUCGAUGUUGGAUUAAAAUAAAUUUUUGGUGCAGUAACUUAGGGAUUAGGUCUGUUCGACCUUUAAAAUUUUACAUGAUCUGAGUUUAGACCGGCGUGAGCCAGGUUAGAUUCUAUCUUUAGGAUUUUAUAAUAUUUUAGUACGAAAGGACCAAAUAUUGGUUAUAUUAAUUG
rnacentral:rRNA from 1 species